rnacentral:rRNA from 1 species
UGGGGAAUAUUGGACAAUGGGCGCAAGCCUGAUCCAGCCAUGCCGCGUGUGUGAAGAAGGCCUUUUGGUUGUAAAGCACUUUAAGCGAGGAGGAGGCUACUUGGAUUAAUACUCUGGGAUAGUGGACGUUACUCGCAGAAUAAGCACCGGCUAACUCUGUGCCAGCAGCCGCGGUAAUACAGAGGGUGCGAGCGUUAAUCGGAUUUACUGGGCGUAAAGCGUGCGUAGGCGGCUUUUUAAGUCGGAUGUGAAAUCCCUGAGCUUAACUUAGGAAUUGCAUUCGAUACUGGGAAGCUAGAGUAUGGGAGAGGAUGGUAGAAUUCCAGGUGUAGCGGUGAAAUGCGUAGAGAUCUGGAGGAAUACCGAUGGCGAAGGCAGCCAUCUGGCCUAAUACUGACGCUGAGGUACGAAAGCAUGGGGAGCAAACAGG